GGCUGCAAGGGACUGUAAAGAUCAUCCAGUUUCAACCCCCCUGCCACGGGCAGUGACACCUUCCACAAGACCAGGUUGUUUAAAGCCCCAUCGAUCCUGGCCUUGAAGGGGCUUCCACAACUUCUCUGGGAAACCUGUUCCACUGCCUCACCACCCUCACAGUGAAGAAUUUCUUCCCAACAUCUAAUCCAAACCUAAUCUAAAUUCUGUCAGUUUAAAGCCAUUAUAACCCUCGUCCUAUCGCUACAUCCUUUGUAAAAAAUCCUUCUCCCGCCCUCUUGUGGGCACCCUUUAAGUACUGGAAGGUGCUCUGAGGUCUCCCUGCAGCCUUCUCUUCUCCAGGCUGAACAACCCCAGCUGUCUGCACAAGAGAGAUGCUCCAGACCUCUAAGAAUCUUUGUGACCCUCUCUGGAGCUGCUCCAACACUUCACUUCCUUCUUUUAUCCACAUACCCACCACUUCCCUCUAGUCCUUAUCCCUGCGGCUCCCGGGCUCUGCCCUUUGGUUACCCUGCCCUGCGUGAGGGAGCAGCUCGGCCACUCUCCUUCCCGCGCUCCGGGGCGGCGCUUCCCCGCCGGGCCUGCUCCCCGGCAUUCCCGGCAUGUGGAGGAGGCUCUCCCGCUCCAGCCGCCCGAGUGGCUUCUGGUGUAGACCAGGCAGUUCUCACAUGA
rnacentral:lncRNA from 1 species